rnacentral:rRNA from 1 species
CAGUGAGGAAUCUUGCGCAAUGGGGGCAACCCUGACGCAGCAACGCCGCGUGAGUGAUGAAGGCCUUCGGGUCGUAAAGCUCUGUCAGGCGGAAAGAAAGUUUUCAGGGUAAACAAUCCUGGAGAUUGACGGUACCGCCAAAGGAAGCACCGGCUAACUCCGUGCCAGCAGCCGCGGUAAUACGGAGGGUGCUAGCGUUGUUCGGAAUUAUUGGGCGUAAAGAGCGUGUAGGCGGCCUCGUAAGUCAGAUGUGAAAUCCCUUGGCUUAACCAAGGAAGGGCAUUUGAAACUGCUUGGCUUGAGUACGGGAGGGGGAAGCGGAAUUCCCGGUGUAGAGGUGAAAUUCGUAGAUAUCGGGAGGAACACCGGUGGCGAAGGCGGCUUCCUGGACCGAUACUGACGCUGAGACGCGAAAGCGUGGGGAGCAAACAGGAUU